GGCUCGGUGGUGUAGUUGGUUAUCACGUCAGUCUAACAUUCUCAUCGAUGUUGACCACUGAAGGUCCGGAGUUCAAGCCUCCGCUGAGUCA